GACGGAGGGUGCAAGCGUUUGUUCGGAAUUACUGGGCGUAAAGCGUACGUAGGCGGCGGGUUAAGUCGAAUGUUAAAGCCUGGGGCUCAACCCCAGAGAUGCACUCGAUACUGGCUUGCUAGAGGGUGAUAGAGGAAAGCGGAAUUCCCAGUGUAGCGGUGAAAUGCGUAGAUAUUGGGAGGAACAUCAGUAGCGAAGGCGCUUUCUGGGUCACACCUGACGCUGGAGGUAACGAAAGCGGUGGGGAGGCAAACAGGA
rnacentral:rRNA from 1 species